UCUCCCGGAAGCUGCGCUUGCUGUCUGGGUAACGGGGUCUGCAGCGGAGCCGCGAUGGAUGUGGAGGAGGUGAAAGCGUUCAGAGACCGCUGUUCUCAGUGUGCUGCUGUCUCCUGGGGCCUUACCAAAGAAGGCAAAUAUUACUGUACUUCCUGACACAGAUGAUGAAGUCUUACACAAUUUUUGGAAGCGCUACCUUCAGAAGAGCAAGCAGGCCUAUUGUAAAAACCCAGUUCGUACAAGUGGAAGGAAAGCCAAAGUGAGCCCUGGACCCUGACAUGAGACACUAAAAUUCACUUUGUGUGGCAGAAA
rnacentral:lncRNA from 1 species